rnacentral:ncRNA from 1 species
AUGUUAUCCAGAAAGGUUGAGGGAAUAGACCCGAUGAAACCUUAGCAACCCUUUGUGAAAGCAAAGAAGGUGCUACGUUCUACCAAAAUAAUUUGGACAGAUAACUU